GCGCCUGUAGCUCAGUUGGAUAGAGCAUCUGCCUUCUAAGCAGGUGGUCACAGGUUCGAAUCCUGUCAGGCGCGCCA
rnacentral:tRNA from 2 species